rnacentral:rRNA from 1 species
UAGCCUGCUAAAUAGGAUCGGGAACUUUUUUGUUCUCGCAUCACUUCUUAGAGGGACUUUGCGUGUCUAACGCAAGGAAGUUUGAGGCAAUAACAGGUCUGUGAUGCCCUUAGAUGUUCUGGGCUGCACGCGCGCUACACUGAUGCAUGCAACGAGUUUUUGACCUUGGCCGGAAGGUCUAGGUAAUCUUUUGAGUAUGCAUCGUGAUGGGGAUAGAUUAUUGCAAUUAUUAAUCUUCAACGAGGAAUGCCUAGUAGGCGCAAGUCAGCAGCUUGUGCCGAUUACGUCCCUGCCCUUUGUACACACCGCCCGUCGCUGCAACCGAUCGGAGGGUCCUGUGAACUCGAUGGACUGCCCAUCCCCUUCUUGGGGUUGGGCUGGAAGUUGCGUAAAUAGAGCCCUCUAAAGGAUGCAAAAGUCGUAACACGGUUUCCGUAGGUGAACCUGCGGAAGGAUCAUUC